GGGCCCGCACAAGCGGUGGAUUAUGUGGUUUAAUUCGAUGAUACGCGAGGAACCUUACCAAGACUUAAAUGGGAAUUGACAGUUUUAGAAAUAGAACUUUCUUCGGACAAUUUUCAAGGUGCUGCAUGGUUGUCGUCAGCUCGUGCCGUGAGGUGUUAGGUUAAGUCCUGCAACGAGCGCAACCCCUGUCACUAGUUGCCAUCAUUCAGUUGGGGACUCUAGUGAGACUGCCUACGCAAGUAGAGAGGAAGGUGGGGAUGACGUCAAAUCAUCACGGCCCUUACGUCUUGGGCCACACACGUAAUACAAUGGCCGGUACAGAGGGCAGCUACACAGCGAUGUGAUGCAAAUCUCGAAAGCCGGUCUCAGUUCGGAUUGGAGUCUGCAACUCGACUCUAUGAAGCUGGAAUCGCUAGUAA
rnacentral:rRNA from 1 species